AAAGAGGGGGACCUUCGGGCCUCUCGCGAUUGGAUGAACCUAGGUGGGAUUAGCUAGUUGGUGAGGUAAUGGCUCACCAAGGCGACGAUCCCUAGCUGUUCUGAGAGGAUGAUCAGCCACACUGGGACUGAGACACGGCCCAGACUCCUACGGGAGGCAGCAGUGGGGAAUAUUGCACAAUGGGGGAAACCCUGAUGCAGCCAUGCCGCGUGUGUGAAGAAGGCCUUCGGGUUGUAAAGCACUUUCAGUAGGGAGGAAAGGGUGAGUCUUAAUACGGCUCAUCUGUGACGUUACCUACAGAAGAAGGACCGGCUAACUCCGUGCCAGCAGCCGCGGUAAUACGGAGGGUCCGAGCGUUAAUCGGAAUUACUGGGCGUAAAGCGUGCGCAGGCGGUUUGUUAAGCGAGAUGUGAAAGCCCUGGGCUCAACCUACGAAUAGCAUUUCCAACUGGCGAACUAUAGUCUUGUAGAGGGGGGUAGAAUUCCAGGUGUAGCGGUGAAAUGCGUAGAGAUCUGGGGGAAUACCGGUGGCGAAUGCGGCCCCCUGGACAAAGACUGACGCUCAUGCACGAAAGCGUGGGGAGCAAACAGG
rnacentral:rRNA from 1 species